rnacentral:rRNA from 1 species
UACGUAGGGACCAAGCGUUGUUCGGAUUUACUGGGCGUAAAGGGCGCGUAGGCGGCUUGUCAAGUCACUUGUGAAAUCUCUGGGCUUAACCCAGAACGGCCAAGUGAAACUGACAUGCUAGAGUGCAGAAGGGCAAUCGGAAUUCUUGGUGUAGCGGUGAAAUGCGUAGAUAUCAAGAGGAACACCUGAGGUGAAGACGGGUUGCUGGGCUGACACUGACGCUGAGGCGCGAAAGCCAGGGAGCAAACGGG